UUUAGGUGGCUCAGACUGAGCGCCGCAUUGAAGCUGCGGAGGCGGAGUCUCCCUUAAAUAA
rnacentral:tRNA from 1 species